rnacentral:rRNA from 1 species
CGAAUUCAGACAUUCUUGGUCAUUUAGAGGAAGUAAAAGUCGUAACAAGGUCUCCGUAGGUGAACCUGCGGAGGGAUCAUUACACAAAUAUGAAGGCGGGCUGGAACCUCUCGGGGUUACAGCCUUGCUGAAUUAUUCACCCUUGUCUUUUGCGUACUUCUUGUUUCCUUGGUGGGUUCGCCCACCACUAGGACAAACAUAAACCUUUUGUAAUUGCAAUCAGCGUCAGUAACAAAUUAAUAAUUACAACUUUCAACAACGGAUCUCUUGGUUCUGGCAUCGAUGAAGAACGCAGCGAAAUGCGAUAAGUAGUGUGAAUUGCAGAAUUCAGUGAAUCAUCGAAUCUUUGAACGCACAUUGCGCCCUUUGGUAUUCCAAAGGGCAUGCCUGUUCGAGCGUCAUUUGUACCCUCAAGCUUUGCUUGGUGUUGGGCGUCUUGUCUCUAGCUUUGCUGGAGACUCGCCUUAAAGUAAUUGGCAGCCGGCCUACUGGUUUCGGAGCGCAGCACAAGUCGCACUCUCUAUCAGCAAAGGUCUAGCAUCCAUUAAGCCUUUUUUUCAACUUUUGACCUCGGAUCAGGUAGGGAUACCCGCUGAACUUAAGCAUAUCAAUAAGCGGAGGAAAUGUCU